ACCAGACCUGAGGGGCAGGAGGGGCGACUCAGGCCCAGCCCGGGCCCCGCGCCCCAACCCCGGCCCGCGCGGGCGCCUCCCGAGGGGCGGGGCGGGGGGCGGGGGGCGGCGCGGGCUGCGGGUCCCCCCGUCCGCGGCCCCGCAGCUCGCUGCUCCUCCCGGCUUCCUCCACGAGCCGCAGGAGGCCGUGUAUCCGCGAAAGUAAGAAAGUUUAAACCGAAGGAAAACCAGCCCUACCUGCCGUCCAGGUCCAGCGACCCCUUCCCGCCCCCGCCCCCGCCGCCGCCGCCGCCUAUCCGAGGAGGGGGGAGGGGAAGGGGGCCGCGCGGGCCCGUCGCGGCCCGUCCGCCCGUCCGUCCGCGCGUCCGUCGGUCCGCGGGCACCCACCUCCACGCGCUCCUCGCGCAGGCGGAUGCGGCCGGCCAGGCGCUCGCGGGUGCCCACGUCGGGGUACUGGUUCUGCACGAAGAGCGCCUCCAGCGCCUGCAGCUGCUCCUCGCUGAAGAUGGUGCGGUGGCGCCGCGUGCGCCUCUGCGGGCCCGGCCCGCCCGCGCCCGGCAGCGCCCCCGAGCCUCCCGCCGCCGCGGCCAAGGGCGAGGGCGCCGCGGGGCCCAGCCUCAGCGGCCACGGCAGCCGCGCGCCUGCGGGGAGGGCGCAGUGAGGCCCGGCCCCGCCCGCCCGCCCGCCCGCAGCCGCCCCGCGCCCGCCCCGCGCCCGCCCCGCGCCCACUCACCCAGCGCGGCGGCCGCCUCCGGGGGUCCCCGGGGCGCCGCGCGGGGUCCGCAGCAGCAGCAGCAGCNNNNNNNNNNGCGGCGGCGGGGGACCUGCUCCGCCUCGGCGCGCGGGGGCCGCGGUGAGGGGCCGCGGGGAGCCCUCCGCCCCCGAGCUGCUGUUCUGUCCCCGGAGCGGAGGGCCGCCUCCCCCUGCCCCGGGGCCCGGGCCACCCCGACCUGGCCGCCCCCGUUGCCCUCCUGGCCGAGCCCCGGGCUACGUCCCGCAGUGGCCCCUCGUCCCCUGGGGGCUCUAAGAGGGCGACGGGCAAGUCUGGAGAAAACCACCCCAACUGCCAACCUCCUGGCCCCGACUCUGGCGGGCUCCUGCCCCCAGGGGGGCCCAACUGCACUGGCAGCCCCCCGAUCGCACCCUCUCUGGCCCCCAACCUCCCACCCACUUCACAGCGGGACCCUCAGCCUCCUGGAGGCAACGGGGAGCGGGAGCUCUCUGCUCACCACCAAACCUGGAUCCCCACCGCCCAGGCCCCCAAGUCUCUACCCCCUCUACUGGGUCACCCGGCCUCCUCCGCCUCCCAGACCCCAUCCAAGGCCCCACCCCAGUGCUCUGCAGCCACCCCUCCUCGUGCUUCCUGUAUGUCCCAGAAUCCCCUCCAAGAAACCAUGA
rnacentral:lncRNA from 12 species